rnacentral:rRNA from 1 species
AAUCAACGCUGGCGGCGUGCCUAACACAUGCAAGUCGAGCGGGAAAGGGGGCUUCGGUCCCUGAGUAUAGCGGCGGACGGGUGAGUAACACGUGGGUAAUUUGCCCUUGGGUGUGGAAUAACUCAGGGAAACUUGAGCUAAUACCGCAUGACAUCCCCUUCUCACAGGAGUUGGGGAUCAAAGCCGGGGACCCUUCGGGGCCUGGCGCCUGAGGAGAAGCCCGCGCCCGAUUAGCUAGUUGGUGAGGUAAUGGCUCACCAAGGCUUCGAUCGGUAGCCGGCCUGAGAGGGCGGACGGCCACACUGGGACUGAGACACGGCCCAGACUCCUACGGGAGGCAGCAGUGGGGAAUUUUUGCAAUGGGGGAAA